rnacentral:rRNA from 1 species
GAUGAACGCUAGCGGCAGGCUUAAUACAUGCAAGUUGAGGGGCAGCAUGAUAUACGCGAGUAUAUUGAUGGCGACCGGCGGACGGGUGAGUAAUAGGUAGGAGACCUACCUCAUACAGGGGGAUAGCAUAGAGAAAUCUGUGGUAAUACCCCAUGAGGUUAUAUGAAUAGAGGCAUAUAAUCAAAGCAUAAGUGAUUAUGCGGUAUGAGAGGGGCCUACUGACCAUUAGCUAGUUGGUGAGGUAAGGGCUCACCAAGGCGAAGAUGGUUAGGGGUUUUGAGAGAGAGACCCCCCCACAUUGGAACUGAGAGACGGUCCAGACUCCUACGGGAGGCAGCAGUAGGGAAUAUUGGGCAAUGGGCGAAAGCCUGACCCAGCCAUGCCGCGUGAAGGAAGACGGCCUUAUGGGUUGUAAACUUCUUUACUACGCGAAUAGAGGUUAGUACGAGAUACUAAUAGGAAGGUAGUGUAGUAAAAAGCACCGGCUAACUCCGUG